rnacentral:misc_RNA from 1 species
AAAAAGUUAUCUGACAAAGAACCAAUAUCGUAAUGGUGAGUAUCACAAGAAGAUGUAUGGUUCAUCUUCAAUUCUGAUGUUAGGAAAUACCUGUGUGUGUGUGCAUUUUGAUAACUAAGAGUACAGCUAUAUCAAUAACAAUAAAAGGAAUGCCAACCAUGUAGACAAGGAGUAAACAGUUUUUUCACCUUUAUAAAGCCUAUUAACAAAAACAAUAAUCACUGCAUAAAAAUAUAUAGUUAUUGGAAAUGAAGAGCAUGGUCUCAUUUCCGUUUACAAAUGUCCAUUAAAUGGCCCAAAUAGGCAAUGAGAGGAUAAAUCAUCCACUGCAGGUCUCUGGAUGUUCUCAAAUUCACCUAAUGGAAUGAUUUUACUUUUCAUCAACCUUCAACCCUAACAGGCUAACACUGCCUUAAAGUUAAGAAAAAUACAUCAGAAACAAAAAAAAAAAAAA